rnacentral:piRNA from 1 species
UGCCAGCUAAGUGACUUUUAGAGUAA